UACGAGGGGGGCAAAUGUUGUUCGGAAUCACUGGGCGUAAAGGGUGCGUAGGCGGGCGUUUAAGUUAGGUGUUUAAUCCUGGGGCCCAACCCCAGUCGUGCACCUAAAACUGGACAUCUUGAAUAGUGGAGAGGUCAGUGGAAUUGGGGGUGUAGCGGUGGAAUGCGUAGAGAUCCCCAAGAACACCAGUUGCGAAGGCGGCUGACUGGACACAUAUUGACGCUGAGGCUCGAAAGCAUGGGGAGCAAACAGG
rnacentral:rRNA from 1 species